rnacentral:rRNA from 1 species
GAUGAACGCUAGCUACAGGCUUAACACAUGCAAGUCGAGGGACCCGCGCACGGGUGAGUAACAUGUAUCCAACCUGCUCUUUACUCGGGGAUAGCCUUUCGAAAGAAAGUUUAAUACCCGACAUAAAGGAUGGAGAUGCGUUCCAUUAGGUUGUUGGUGAGGUAAUGGCUCACCAAGCCUUCGAUGGAUAGGGGUUCGGAGAGGAAGGUCCCCCACAUUGGAACAGAGACACGGGCCAAACGCCUACGGGAGGCAGCAGUGAGGAAGAUUGGUAAAUAGGCGCGAGCCUGAACCACCCAAGUAGCGUGAAGGAUGAAGGCUUAUGGGUCGUAAACUUCUUUUAUAUAAGAAUAUGUAUUAGAUGAAUAAGGAUCGGCUAACUCCGUGCCAGCAGCCGCGGUAAUAC